rnacentral:rRNA from 1 species
GUGGGGAAUAUUGGACAAUGGGGGGAACCCUGAUCCAGCCAUGCCGCGUGUGUGAAGAAGGUCUUCGGAUUGUAAAGCACUUUAAGUUGGGAGGAAGGGCAGUAAGUUAAUACCUUGCUGUUUUGACGUUACCGACAGAAUAAGCACCGGCUAACUUCGUGCCAGCAGCCGCGGUAAUACGAAGGGUGCAAGCGUUAAUCGGAAUUACUGGGCGUAAAGCGCGCGUCGGUGGUUUUGUAAGUUGGAGGUGAAAUCCCCGGGCUCAACCUGGGAACUGCCUCCAAAACUGCAUGACUAGAGUACGGUAGAGGGUAGUGGAAUUUCCUGUGUAGCGGUGAAAUGCGUAGAUAUAGGAAGGAACACCAGUGGCGAAGGCGACUACCUGGACUGAUACUGACACUGAGGUGCGAAAGCGUGGGGAGCAAACAGGAUUAGAUACCCCGGUAGUCC